UUUUUCCCCCCCUUUUUAAUGAUUUUGUUCAAAACAAGGCUUGAAGCCACUGUGUGUAAGGGACUACAAAGUAGGGAAGGAAAGGGGCCUGCAAUUUCAAAAGCUGUCAUUUGCCAAAAUGCUUAAGGGUCUGAAUAUCAUAGACGAGAGAUAAAAGAGAAACUGGACAAUGGUAGGGAGAUCCAGGGAGCAGUAGUUAUAGGAACGGAGCUCUAAGAAGAAAAGGGAUUUAAAACUAACGGGAAAUUCAACAGAGAAACAAUACAUAAGGGAAGAAAAUUAGAAGCAAUAAACAAGUUACAAAGGUGCAAAGUCUCCAAUAUUACCGAUUUGGUAUUUACUGUUAAUAUAAAAACCAUGAACACUGAUGGUCGAAGACAUGAUGAUAAGAGUUUUAUGAAAAGCUACAUGAAACUUACAGAUGAUUAUGAGAGAAAAAAAAUCUUUCCAAUAAAACUUUUUAGAAAUU